GACGGAGGGUGCUAGCGUUGUUCGGAAUGACUGGGCGUAAAGGGCUCGUAGGUGGCCAACUAAGUCAGACGUGAAAUCCCUCGGCUUAACCGGGGAACUGCGUCUGAUACUGGAUGGCUAGAGAUUGGGAGAGGGAAGCGGAAUUCCCGGUGUAGUGGUGAAAUGCGUAGAUAUCGGGAGGAACACCAGUGGCGAAGGCGGCUUCCUGGCCUGUUCUUGACGCUGAGGCGCGAAAGCUAGGGGAGCAAACGGG
rnacentral:rRNA from 1 species